CCUACGGGAGGCAGCAGUGGGGAAUAUUGCACAAUGGGGGAAACCCUGAUGCAGCGACGCCGCGUGAGUGAAGAAGUAAUUCGUUAUGUAAAGCUCUAUCAGCAGGGAAGAAAAUGACGGUACCUGAGUAAGAAGCACCGGCUAACUACGUGCCAGCAGCCGCGGUAAUACGUAGGGGGCAAGCGUUAUCCGGAUUUACUGGGUGUAAAGGGAGCGUAGACGGCAGUGCAAGUCUGGGGUGAAAGGCGGGGGGUCAACCCCCGGACUGCUCUGGAAACUGUACGGCUGGAGUGCAGGAGAGGUAAGUGGAAGUCGUAGUGUAGCGGUGAAAUGCGUAGAUAUUAGGAGGAACACCAGUGGCGAAGGCGGCUUACUGGACUGUAACUGACGUUGAGGCUCGAAAGCGUGGGGAGCAAACAGGAUUAGAUACCCCAGUAGUC
rnacentral:rRNA from 1 species